rnacentral:tRNA from 6 species
UGUCCGAUAGUAUAAGGGUAGUACAACAGUUUUUGGUUCUGUUUGUCUUGGUUCGAAUCCAGGUCGGACAACAA